rnacentral:rRNA from 1 species
UACGUAGGGAGCGAGCGUUGUCCGGAUUUACUGGGUGUAAAGGGUGCGUAGGCGGUUUUGCAAGUCAGAAGUGAAAUCCAUGGGCUUAACCCAUGAACUGCUUUUGAAACUGCAGGACUUGAGUGAAGUAGAGGUAGGCGGAAUUCCCGGUGUAGCGGUGAAAUGCGUAGAGAUCGGGAGGAACACCAGUGGCGAAGGCGGCCUACUGGGCUUUAACUGACGCUGAAGCACGAAAGCGUGGGUAGCAAACA